rnacentral:rRNA from 1 species
CAGUAGCCACGGUAAUACGUAGGGAGCAAGCGUUGUUCGGAUUUACUGGGCGUAAAGGGCGCGUAGGCGGCGCGGUAAGUCACUUGUGAAAUCUCUGAGCUUAACUCAGAACGGCCAAGUGAUACUGCUGUGCUAGAGUGCGGAAGAGGCAACCGAAAUUCUUGGUGUAGCGGUGAAAUGCGUAGAUAUCAAGAGGAACACCUGAGGCGAAGGCGGGUUGCUGGGCCGACACUGACGCUGAUGCGCGAAAGCCAGGGGAGCAAACGGGAUUAGAUACCCGUGUAGUCCCUGUCUCUUAUAC